rnacentral:rRNA from 1 species
CCUACGGGAGGCAGCAGUAGGGAAUAUUGCUCACUGGGGGAAACCCUGAAGCAGCAACGCCGCGUGGAGGAUGAAGGUUUUCGGAUUGUACACUCCUUUUGUUAGAGAAGAUAAUGACGGUAUCUAACGAAUAAGCACCGGCUAACUCCGUGCCAGCAGCCGCGGUAAUACUGAGGGUGCAAGCGUUCCUCUGAAUCACUGGGCGUAAAGAGCGCGUAGGCGGGAUAGCAAGUCAGAUGUGAAAUCCUAUGGCGUAACCAUAGAACUGCAUUUGAAACUGUUAUUCUAGAGUAUGGGAGAGGUAGGUGGAAUGCUUGGUGUAGGGGGAAAAUCCGUAGAGAUCAAGAGGAAUACUCAUUGCGAAGGCGACCUGCUAGAACAUAACUGACGCUGAUGCGCGAAAGCGUGGGGAGCAAACAGGAUUAGAUACCCCAGUAGUC